GCCUGAUGGAGGGGGAUAACUACUGGAAACGGUAGCUAAUACCGCAUAACGUCGCAAGACCAAAGAGGGGGACCUUCGGGCCUCUUGCCAUCAGAUGUGCCCAGAUGGGAUUAGCUAGUAGGUGGGGUAACGGCUCACCUAGGCGACGAUCCCUAGCUGGUCUGAGAGGAUGACCAGCCACACUGGAACUGAGACACGGUCCAGACUCCUACGGGAGGCAGCAGUGGGGAAUAUUGCACAAUGGGCGCAAGCCUGAUGCAGCCAUGCCGCGUGUAUGAAGAAGGCCUUCGGGUUGUAAAGUACUUUCAGCGGGGAGGAAGGCGAUAAGGUUAAUAACCUUGUCGAUUGACGUUACCCGCAGAAGAAGCACCGGCUAACUCCGUGCCAGCAGCCGCGGUAAUACGGAGGGUGCAAGCGUUAAUCGGAAUUACUGGGCGUAAAGCGCACGCAGGCGGUCUGUCAAGUCGGAUGUGAAAUCCCCGGGCUCAACCUGGGAACUG
rnacentral:rRNA from 1 species